rnacentral:rRNA from 1 species
GAUUAACGCUGGCGGCGUGCAUAACACAUGCAAGUCGAACGAAGUGGCGGACGGGUGAGUAACGCGUGAGUAACCUGCCUUAGAGAAGGGGAUAGCCUUUGGAAACGAAGAAUAAUACCCUAUGCUCUAAGAUGGACUUGCGUCUGAUUCGUUAGUUGGUGGGGUAACGGCCCACCAAGACAGCGGUCAGUAGCCGGCGGGAGAGAGUGUACGGCCACAUUGGGACUGAGACACGGCCCAAACUAUACGGGAGGCAGCAGUGGGGAAUAUUGCACAAUGGGGGAAACCCUGAUGCAGCGACGCCGCGUGACGAAGAAGGUAUUCGUAUCGUAAAGUUCUGUCCUAUGGGAAGCAGUACCAUAGAAGAAAGCUCCGGCUAAAUACGUGCCAGCAGCCGCGGUAAUUC